rnacentral:rRNA from 1 species
CCUACGGGCGGCUGCAGUGAGGAAUAUUGGUCAAUGGACGAGAGUCUGAACCAGCCAAGUAGCGUGAAGGAUGACUGCCCUCUGGGUUGUAAACUUCUUUUAUAUGGGAAUAAAAUGUUCCACGUGUGGGAUAUUGUAUGUACCAUAUGAAUAAGGAUCGGAUAACUCCGUGCCAGCAGCCGCGGUAAUACGGAGGAUCCGAGCGUUAUCCGGAUUUAUUGGGUUUAAAGGGAGCGUAGGUGGAUAGUUAAGUCAGUUGUGAAAGUUUGCGGCUCAACCGUAAAAUUGCAGUUGAGACUGGGAGUCUUGAGUACAGUAGAGGUGGGCGGAAUUCGUGGUGUAGCGGUGAAAUGCGUAGAUAUCACGAAGAACUCCGAUUGCGAAGGCAGCUCCCUGGACUGCAACUGACGCUGAGGCGCGAAAGUGUGGGUAUCAAACAGGAUUAGAUACCCCUGUAGUC